GGGCUAUUAGCUCAGCGGUAGAGCGCGCCCCUGAUAAUUGCGUCGUCUCUGGUUCAAGUCCAGGAUGGCCCA
rnacentral:tRNA from 1 species